rnacentral:lncRNA from 1 species
CAAAAAGCUCUUUACAAAACUAUAGACCACUUAGCACUUUAUAGAUCAAAGAUAACACUUGACAUUGUGUUCAGAGGUGAAGAAAUAGUCACCACAACAAAAGAGGGCAUAAUCUAGUUUGAGCUCUAAAGACUGUGUCCUGGAGAUUUGGGUUGAUUUUGUCUUUAUGGUUCUUGCUUUAUCUUAGGACCAUUAGAUUUUGUUUGAAGGUGGAGGAUGAACAGCACACCACGUACCAACAAGCAAGACAACUGCAGACUCCCACAUAUUUUCCUCCUAUAUGUCUUCGGUGAUUCGGAUUCCUUACUCAAGUAGAAGAUGACUUAAGCCUAUCUCCAUAACAAUUAGCUACAGAAUCAUUUGCUCCAAGUUCAGGAAGCUCCUUUACCUGCUGCAGAGCAGCUUCUAUUGUAAUAGAAGCAAAGCCUGGUAGCAGACUGAAAAGACUUGAAAGCCAUUCUAUGUACAUGGUAAAAGUAUGAAAUGCACCCCAAACAAAGCCUUGAAUGUGUCUGAAGAUCUCAGAGUGUGAUUGUUUGCAUCAGAUUUUCUAUCAGUGCAUUUGUGAGGAAGAUAAGAAUCUAUAAUAGGGAAAUAAUAUGUAUGUCUACUUCUGGGGAGCUGAAGAAAUGGGAUAUGGGCUUCCCGGAGAGAC